UAAGCGACUAAGCGUACACGGUGGAUGCCCUGGCAGUCAGAGGCGAUGAAGGACGUGCUAAUCUGCGAUAAGCGUCGGUAAGGUGAUAUGAACCGUUAUAACCGGCGAUUUCCGAAUGGGGAAACCCAGUGUGUUUCGACACACUAUCAUUAACUGAAUCCAUAGGUUAAUGAGGCGAACCGGGGGAACUGAAACAUCUAAGUACCCCGAGGAAAAGAAAUCAACCGAGAUUCCCCCAGUAGCGGCGAGCGAACGGGGAGGAGCCCAGAGCCUGAAUCAGUGUGUGUGUUAGUGGAAGCGUCUGGAAAGGCGCGCGAUACAGGGUGACAGCCCCGUACACAAAAAUGCACAUGCUGUGAGCUCGAUGAGUAGGGCGGGACACGUGGUAUCCUGUCUGAAUAUGGGGGGACCAUCCUCCAAGGCUAAAUACUCCUGACUGACCGAUAGUGAACCAGUACCGUGAGGGAAAGGCGAAAAGAACCCCGGCGAGGGGAGUGAAAAAGAACCUGAAACCGUGUACGUACAAGCAGUGGGAGCACGCUUAGGCGUGUGACUGCGUACCUUUUGUAUAAUGGGUCAGCGACUUAUAUUCUGUAGCAAGGUUAACCGAAUAGGGGAGCCGAAGGGAAACCGAGUCUUAACUGGGCGUUAAGUUGCAGGGUAUAGACCCGAAACCCGGUGAUCUAGCCAUGGGCAGGUUGAAGGUUGGGUAACACUAACUGGAGGACCGAACCGACUAAUGUUGAAAAAUUAGCGGAUGACUUGUGGCUGGGGGUGAAAGGCCAAUCAAACCGGGAGAUAGCUGGUUCUCCCCGAAAGCUAUUUAGGUAGCGCCUCGUGAAUUCAUCUCCGGGGGUAGAGCACUGUUUCGGCAAGGGGGUCAUCCCGACUUACCAACCCGAUGCAAACUGCGAAUACCGGAGAAUGUUAUCACGGGAGACACACGGCGGGUGCUAACGUCCGUCGUGAAGAGGGAAACAACCCAGACCGCCAGCUAAGGUCCCAAAGUCAUGGUUAAGUGGGAAACGAUGUGGGAAGGCCCAGACAGCCAGGAUGUUGGCUUAGAAGCAGCCAUCAUUUAAAGAAAGCGUAAUAGCUCACUGGUCGAGUCGGCCUGCGCGGAAGAUGUAACGGGGCUAAACCAUGCACCGAAGCUGCGGCAGCGACGCUUAUGCGUUGUUGGGUAGGGGAGCGUUCUGUAAGCCUGUGAAGGUGUGCUGUGAGGCAUGCUGGAGGUAUCAGAAGUGCGAAUGCUGACAUAAGUAACGAUAAAGCGGGUGAAAAGCCCGCUCGCCGGAAGACCAAGGGUUCCUGUCCAACGUUAAUCGGGGCAGGGUGAGUCGACCCCUAAGGCGAGGCCGAAAGGCGUAGUCGAUGGGAAACAGGUUAAUAUUCCUGUACUUGGUGUUACUGCGAAGGGGGGACGGAGAAGGCUAUGUUGGCCGGGCGACGGUUGUCCCGGUUUAAGCGUGUAGGCUGGUUUUCCAGGCAAAUCCGGAAAAUCAAGGCUGAGGCGUGAUGACGAGGCACUACGGUGCUGAAGCAACAAAUGCCCUGCUUCCAGGAAAAGCCUCUAAGCAUCAGGUAACAUCAAAUCGUACCCCAAACCGACACAGGUGGUCAGGUAGAGAAUACCAAGGCGCUUGAGAGAACUCGGGUGAAGGAACUAGGCAAAAUGGUGCCGUAACUUCGGGAGAAGGCACGCUGAUAUGUAGGUGAAGCGACUUGCUCGUGGAGCUGAAAUCAGUCGAAGAUACCAGCUGGCUGCAACUGUUUAUUAAAAACACAGCACUGUGCAAACACGAAAGUGGACGUAUACGGUGUGACGCCUGCCCGGUGCCGGAAGGUUAAUUGAUGGGGUCAGCGCAAGCGAAGCUCUUGAUCGAAGCCCCGGUAAACGGCGGCCGUAACUAUAACGGUCCUAAGGUAGCGAAAUUCCUUGUCGGGUAAGUUCCGACCUGCACGAAUGGCGUAAUGAUGGCCAGGCUGUCUCCACCCGAGACUCAGUGAAAUUGAACUCGCUGUGAAGAUGCAGUGUACCCGCGGCAAGACGGAAAGACCCCGUGAACCUUUACUAUAGCUUGACACUGAACAUUGAGCCUUGAUGUGUAGGAUAGGUGGGAGGCUUUGAAGUGUGGACGCCAGUCUGCAUGGAGCCGACCUUGAAAUACCACCCUUUAAUGUUUGAUGUUCUAACGUUGACCCGUAAUCCGGGUUGCGGACAGUGUCUGGUGGGUAGUUUGACUGGGGCGGUCUCCUCCUAAAGAGUAACGGAGGAGCACGAAGGUUGGCUAAUCCUGGUCGGACAUCAGGAGGUUAGUGCAAUGGCAUAAGCCAGCUUGACUGCGAGCGUGACGGCGCGAGCAGGUGCGAAAGCAGGUCAUAGUGAUCCGGUGGUUCUGAAUGGAAGGGCCAUCGCUCAACGGAUAAAAGGUACUCCGGGGAUAACAGGCUGAUACCGCCCAAGAGUUCAUAUCGACGGCGGUGUUUGGCACCUCGAUGUCGGCUCAUCACAUCCUGGGGCUGAAGUAGGUCCCAAGGGUAUGGCUGUUCGCCAUUUAAAGUGGUACGCGAGCUGGGUUUAGAACGUCGUGAGACAGUUCGGUCCCUAUCUGCCGUGGGCGCUGGAGAACUGAGGGGGGCUGCUCCUAGUACGAGAGGACCGGAGUGGACGCAUCACUGGUGUUCGGGUUGUCAUGCCAAUGGCACUGCCCGGUAGCUAAAUGCGGAAGAGAUAAGUGCUGAAAGCAUCUAAGCACGAAACUUGCCCCGAGAUGAGUUCUCCCUGACUCCUUGAGAGUCCUGAAGGAACGUUGAAGACGACGACGUUGAUAGGCCGGGUGUGUAAGCGCAGCGAUGCGUUGAGCUAACCGGUACUAAUGAACCGUGAGGCUUAACCU
rnacentral:rRNA from 1 species